UUUUGCUUUUAUAAUUAGUGUGUGUUGUUGACUGGUCAGUUCUGAGUGGUAAGGACACUUAAAAUCUGCUCUUCCAAAUUUAGAAAAAUAAUAGGAUAUCUUAAUUGAAAAAGGGGUUUUACUCCAGAAGAAAUAACUGCAUGCACAUAUUUGGGUUAUUAAUAGGAAAGCCUUGGAAGGUAACCUUGAUUUAAAACAAAAAUGGUGUAGGCAGAAAGACAUUGCAUGCUGUGGGUCUGUGUUUAUUGGAUAGCUGUGACCUAGGAAAGGGCAGUGAUAAACGGAUAAGCAGAUUAGUUAAGGAAUCGCGAGGAAAAGUCCCACGGAUACCGCUUUGAGAAAGUAUAAGUGAAAUUCUCGAAGGACUGAAUAGGUGGGCCCUUAAGGAGCUCUAGUUUUCCAUUUACAGGUGACAGCUGUUCCAGUAAGACCAAGGAACGCUUCGCCCCAUCAGAGAGAACCAGUGAGGGUGCAGUUAUGAUCUCAAGAGAGCCUGGCAUUAAUCAGCAAAAUGGUUACAGAGUGACACCCGAGUUCACAUCUCUAACCUUAAAAUAAUCCAACCAGCUUCAACAACUCCACACAGCAUGAAGUGAGGGAUGAAGGGCGUGCUAGUAACGACCCACCCUUGCCAACGAGGGAAAGACCAUUGCAACGACUCGCAAAGAGUCUCCCUGGUGAAGAUGGAAUGAGAGAAUGAUGGGACUGCUAUUGAGAUCAAAAUACUUGGGUGCAGAUAUGAGCCAACAAAUAGAAAAGAAAAAGUGGAAAAAGAAUGUAAAGUAAUGGUAGAUGAAGAAUUUGAAGGUUAUGAGAAGGGAAAUAUGGAUGUAGGAAGGAUAGAAGGGAGAAUAGAGCAAUUGGAUGCAACAAAUAGAAUGAAAGGAGCAAAAUAGAAAAGCUCAAGAUUAUUUGUGAAUUGAAGAAGGAAAAGUAUGUGUUAUGUUUGAGGGACAAUGCUGUAUUUAUAUACCAAAUAAUACUGCUCAAGAAGGAGCAUUUAAUGAAGUACUGAUCAAAUUGAAAAGGCUAAGAAGGGUAGAUAAAGAAACUGUUGGAAAAGAUAAUAAAAUGUAAGACUGGUUUGAUUUACAGUUAGGAGCAUGGGGAGCAUAGUUUAUAAUUAAAUAGGGAAAGUUUUUAGGAAUUGCAUUAUUGACAGGAGAUUUACUAUUUUAAUGUAUACUUCCUAUAUUGAAGUCACAAGUCAAAGCCACAGUUAAGCAAAUUAAAUUCAAAGAUGUCAAAAUGAUGGGAAAUAGAUUUUUGAAGGUAACCGAAAAGGCUCUCUAUGAUACAUAAGGUAUCCGAGCCAAAGAUCAACUCUUAUAAUCUUGUGAUAUUCAAUGUGUGAUGUGAUGUAUGUAUUUGUAUGUCUUUUAUACAUAACUGUGAUAACCACCGGCCAGUGCUGAACCAAUUGCACAUUCAUGCUUUUAACAAUGUUUACUGUUAAAAGAGGGGUUAGGGAGACUGGAUCUUUUACUCGCUCCUAGUCAAAUUAGGAGAGAGAUGUUUGGUCCAGUAAUCCCUCAGAGUGGAAUCUCAUAAUCUAGUCACUGGUGAUAAUACAAUGUGACUUAUUUAGUCACUAGGUAGUGUAAAAAAUAUGACUGGAUUAUGGAGUAGCACUCUGGAUAAGAAUAAUCAAAUGUGAGACUUAUUAAGUCUCAAAGGGGAGAAUAUGUGGAAGAUUUUUAGUAGAAAGGUUUUAAUUAAUCAAGUAUACAAUCAAUGUGAAUCUAGCCAUUUUUGUUUUAAGUUAUUAUUCUAUUAAAAGCUAAUAGAAAGUUGCCUACGCCCUGGAAUGUACCAAACUGAUAAGAAACACAGGGUCAGAUAUACAUUGAGGGCCUGCGUAAAGCAAGCAGAAGGCCUCUCCUCUAGGGAUGUAUGAAAUGUGUAGACUAAAGAUAAAGUUGUUGACUAUGUGGAACCGCCCCAUAUAAUGUAUAAAACCAAAAACAAAAUAGGAUACGAGAGAUCUUCUUGCCAGGAGCUCUCGACUUUGUUUUGCGCAAAAUAAAGUCUUUUCUUCUGAGAGAAAAA